rnacentral:lncRNA from 1 species
AUGGAUAGUGUCAUCCUUCACAGUUCUGACAUGAACAUUUACGCAUUAGAUGUUCUAAGUCGGCUCCCUGCAGUGCAUGUCAACAUUAGAACACCUGGGGCAGAGCUGGCUCCCAGAACAACAGGAGAGACUUGCCAACAAGCUUGCUUAGGAUUUCUCUGCAGUGGAAAUUUUGGGACUGGGACCUGUUUGGAAAUAUCAGAGAUAACUAGAGGUGGGGGUAACGCCAAUGCUUCCUAGUAGAACAAGAUAGAAAACCACAUGGAUCAUUUCAAAGAAGCCACAGUUUGGAUUGGAUGCAAGAAGGAAUGGUUUAGAAGAGGUCACAGGUCACUGCCCCUUUGUUACUGAGCAUACUUUGGUUUUGUUUCCUCUGUCAUGAUUGGAAAAGGAUCUGUUGCUAACCUUCUAUCAAGUUGUUCUUGUAUAACUUGAGGCCCAGCAUCAACUCUCGAGAGGAGUGAAAAAGCUACUGAAUGCAAGUAGAACAUGGAGCCUCUCCAUCACUCUAUCAUUUUUGUCUAUCACUAAGUCUGUUGAUUCAUUGAAGUCCAAACUUUUGCUGGCACCACCUUGGCCUCUCACGGUCACCUCCACAAAAUCUCCAAGUGAGUCAGAUGAAAUGGUAAAGAGUAAAGAGGUGUGUUUCUGGCUCCUCCACUCCAGACUCUGAGCAAUGAACAACUCAAACAAAGUCUUUCAACCUGAAACUCUCAAGGGCAGGGUGUGGGGAGGUGUGCAGCAUGGUUCAUGUUCAGCAGGUUGAACAUGUGUACUUUCAGUCCAUUUAAUAACUAACUCCCCAGCUGAGCUGCAGUCCGGCUUCCAAUGCUUUUCAUAGAAAAUACCACUAAAACACCGAUCUUCAAAACUUUUGUGUUUUAUGGCCAGGAAUAAAAGCUUACCUCUUUCCCUGCAGUGAUUAUCUUUCCCUGGUUGCUCAUGUUCUAAAAAGUUUAUUAAUUAAAUUUGGCUUCUCUGGUUGAUUUUGUAGAAAGAUUUUUUUCACACAUUGAAGUCAAGCAUCUGUACACAUAUUGGUUGACACUCUGUUGAUAGCUAAGGAUGCAAAUGGAAAAGGCUUUUGCCUGUAAGCUGUCUUGUAUGACUACAGAGCCCCACCAUUCAUGCAAUUCUUCAAGUUCCAUAUAACUAGAAGGAGUUCUUUGCUAGCUAACAGAGAAGACAUCACUCCUCUCAUACCUCUAUGGAAUGUUGCUAGGUAAGAAAUAAGAAUUGUUCAUCCAAAGCCUGGAAAGUCCAGUAUUCUGCCUCUAAUGGAGGACCAACAGAUAUAUUUUUUUCCAGCAGAUAUUUUGUAAGAAUCCUGGGUUGUUUUCCUUGAUGUGAGGCUUAAAAAUCUAGAAAAACAUUAUGAAAUGUGAUUUCUAUCUACUUGGCAGGGAGGGAUGGUGUGGUAUUAGAUUUAAACACACACACACACACACACACACACACACACACACAACUCUGUGGAGACAAGUUUCAACCUGUAUCUUGGAACCCCUGGUUCAAUCCUAAGAGACAAAGGACAUCAGACCUUGUAGAGAGAGGUAUCAGAAUGUGGACUUGAAUCAGACUGCCCAUAUUCAGAUACUGGCUCCUUUAGUUACCAAGUUAGGCAAGUUAC